rnacentral:rRNA from 1 species
AUGGGUCGCCAAGCUAGUGUUGCACGAAAUGACCUCGAGCACAUGCUAUCUCACGAAGACGAGCAGCCAAAGGCCUUUCCAUUAUCACUUUCGGAAGACAUCACAGAUGGUUUCUCUGAGAAGCGUCAAAUUGGCAGCGGUGGGUUUGCGGUUGUUUAUAAGGGAAUGCUUGAGAAUGGGACCGUUGCUGUGAAGAAGCUAUUUGAAAGGCUUGAUAUUCCUGAUAAUAAAUUUAAUGAAGAGAUUCGUUGUUUGAUGAAGAAUCGUAUUGUUCACUUAGAUCUCAAGCCCGCAAAUAUUCUGCUAGAUGGCAAUAUGAUGCCAAAAAUUACUGACUUUGGACUAUCAAGGUGCUUUGAUGAAAAGCAAAGCCGAGCUAUUACCAAAAAUAUGGCUGGCACAUUUGUGAUGGUUAGCUUGGCUGGCAGGACCCCAGUGGAGCAUUCCACGAGUUUGAGGACCAUCAUGUUACAGGCCGGAGAGUACAAGGACGGGAGUCUUGGUGUCAUAAUUAUAGAGAUGCUGACGGGAAAGAAGUGGUACCCAACAUAUCCUGAUGUUGAUAAUAAUAACUUAUUGUACAUCAAGAUUUUGUUGACCCAUGGGGUGGAAAGUGGUGGUUUAAUAGGAUGUGUUGGGUUGGUUGCACUAUAA